rnacentral:rRNA from 1 species
CAGUUUUGGCGGAGCCAUCCUUGGGAUACCACCCUUGUAGUACUGGGACUCUAACCAUAGGCCAUGAAUCUGGUCUUGGGACACUGUCAGGUGGGCAGUUUGACUGGGGCGGUCGCCUCCCAAAAGGUAACGGAGGCGCUCAAAGGUUCUCUCAGUACGGUCGGAAAUCGUACGUAGAGUGUAAAGGCAAAAGAGAGCUUGAUUGCAAGACAUACAGGUCGAGCAAGGAUGAAAAUCGGACUUAGUGAUCCGGUGGUUCUGCGUGGAAGGGCCAUCGCUCAACGGAUAAAAGCUACCCUGGGGAUAACAGGCUUAUCUCCCCCAAGAGUCCACAUCGACGGGGAGGUUUGGCACCUCGAUGUCGGCUCAUCACAUCCUGGGGCUGUAGUAGGUCCCAAGGGUUGGGCUGUUCGCCCAUUAAAGUGGUACGCGAGCUGGGUUCAGAACGUCGUGAGACAGUUCGGUCCCUAUCCGUCGCAGGCGUAGGAAAUUUGAGAAGACCUGUCCUUAGUACGAGAGGACCGGGAUGGACGUACCUCUGGUGUACCAGUUGUUCUGCCAAGGGCAUGGCUGGGUAGCUAUGUACGGAAUGGAUAAGCGCUGAAAGCAUCUAAGCGCGAAGCCAACUUCAAGAUAAGAUUUCCCACCGCAAGGGUAAGACCCCAGAAAGACUAUCUGGUUGAUAGGUCGAAGGUGUAAGUGCAGCAAUGUAUUUAGCUUAUCGAUACUAAUAGGUCGAGGACUUGACCAA